UUAAACUAGGAGUGUCCUGACAUUUCCAUUUUAAGUUCUUUGGCCACUGCUGGGGAAAAGAAACUCAGUAUACCAAUGUAUAUGGUAUAGAUCUUCGUUUAUUUAAAAUGAAAAGAGGUGGGAAUGAUGUGCUUUAAAAGCAAAAUCAGCAGUUAUUUGUCUCCUUGCAUUAGAAGUACUAUUUGGAAGUUGGUUAAUUUCUCUGCUCCAGCACUUUUGUGUUAUCAAGAUCUUGCAAUUAUUGGAUUGCAUCUUCCUAAACAUGUGAUCCAAAACUUGGCAGCGAGUAUAUAAAAGCACCCACUACCCAAACAAAUUGAUGGUUUUAAAUAUAUUUUGUGGGGAUUAACAAUCUUCUUGUGCUACUAAUACCGUGACUGGAUACUUCCGAGUAUAGAAUGUAGUCAUUGCCAGAUGUUACCA